rnacentral:lncRNA from 1 species
GUUAGCUAAUAAAUAUUAAUGUUUAUCACAUGCCAGUGUCUUUGGCUAUACAGCAAACCCAAAGACCAGCCACUAACUACAUCUGGCAUCUAUGAAGCAGAAAGACAAAAGGUAAGUGUUAAAUACCUCACAACUAGUAUUUCUUGACCCUUUACUGAAAAGAAUCAAUUGGCAAAUAUCAUGAACAGAAGUAAUACAAGGCAGAUAUAUACCAUAAUGGAUGGAGGAGGAGUGGGAAAUAGAAACCAAAAAGUAAUAGGCAAAAUGGUGUCUCUGAGGGAAAAAUGAGUCAAUGAUUCUUAAUGUUUUUGGUAUAAUGGACACAUUAUAUUGUGAAGAUUAAAUUUAACUCUCUCCUGAUUAUGAAAAUGAAAUUAAUUAACUCUCUCCUGAUUGUGAAAAUUAAAUUAACUCCCUGCCCAUUUUUAGAUUUAAUCACCAAAAGUAUAAACAUCCCACUUAAUCAUUAAGUGGGAAGGUCUGUGACCCAUGUGUAAAUAGUGGGUGACGAAUCAAAAUCAAACUGACUUGCCUGUGGGCUGUCCCAAGCAAAGCUUCAACUGUGAUUUGUAGACAUAAAAUUAGGGGAAGGCACAGGAAGUGAUGCAAAAGAAAGUGUCUUUAAAAGGGAGUUACAACUUCCUGAGUGGAGUUCAACUUGGACUUUGGCUUCUUCUGGAGUUCUGAGUUUGAGUUGGAGGUUGGUGAAGAAUCUGUUGACUGGACCUGAGACCCUGUACAUGGUGAGACUGUCCUUGAAUCUCUUCCUUUGGACUGACACAUGGUGCCUUCUUAGUUACUCUGAGAGUACCCUUUGCAACUUCUGGGAAUAUAGUAGCCAUCUUCUAGACAACUGACUCCUAAAUUCAAGUGUGUGUUGGGAAGGUAAGUCUAUAGUACAUAGGAUUACCUCC